rnacentral:rRNA from 1 species
GAUGAACGCUGGCAGCAUGCUUAACACAUGCAAGUCGUUCGCAAAGCUGCGCCUGCGCCGUCUAGCCAAGGCGGACGGGUGGGUAAAGCGUAAGGAACUUGCCUUGCAGUCAGGGAUAACAGCCGGAAACGACUGCUAAUACCUCGUAUUGUCAGGCUGGGGAAUGCCGGCCUGAUGGAAGGUGACGCUGCAGGAGAGCCCUGCGUCCUAUUAGCUAGUUGGUGGGGUAAAGGCCCACCAAGGCGACGAUCGGUAGCCGGCCUGAGAGGGUGAACGGCCACAAGGGGACUGAGAUGCGGCACUGGCGAAUACGGGAGGCAGGAGGGGGGAAUAUUAGACAAGGGGGGCAACCGUGAUCAAGCAAUUCUGUGUGCAAGAAGAAGGUUGUCGGGAUGAAAAGCGCUUUCAUCAGAGAAGGAGAUAGUGACGGUACCUGCAGAAGAAGCGACGGCUAAAUACGUG